rnacentral:rRNA from 1 species
AGUCGUACGGCAACACAGUUGCGAGCAAUCGCAACCGGUGGCGAGUGGCGCACGGGUGAGUAACGCGUAUGUAACCUACCCUUCUCCGGGACAUAACUCCGCGAAAGCGGUGCUAAUAUCCCAUACCAACUCAUCAAGACAUCUUCUUGAGUUGAAAGCAGCAAUGCGGUGAAGGAUGGGCAUGCGUCCCAUUAGCUGGUUGGUGAGGUAAUGGCCCACCAAGGCUACGAUGGGUAGGGGUUCUGAGAGGAAAGCCCCCCACACUGGUACUGAGACACGGACCAGACUCCUACGGGAGGCAGCAGUAAGGAAUAUUGGGCAAUGGUCGAAAGACUGACCCAGCCAUGCCGCGUGCAGGAUGAAGGCCCUAUGGGUUGUAAACUGCUUUUAGCCGGGAAUAAACACCCGUUUUAUAACGGGCCCGAAGGUACCGGCUGAAUAAGCAUCGGCUAACUCCGUGCCAGCAGCCGCGGUAAUACGGAGGAUGCAAGCGUUAUCCGGAUUCACUGGGUUUAAAGGGUGCGCAGGCGGACAUUUAAGUCAGGGGUGAAGUCCUACAGCUUAACUGUAGAACUGCCCUUGAUACUGAAUGCCUAGAGUAAAGCUGAAGUGGGCGGAAUGUGUUGUGUAGCGGUGAAAUGCUUAGAUAUAACACAGAACACCAAUCGCGAAGGCAGCUCACUAAACUUUAACUGACGCUCAUGCACGAAAGCGUGGGGAGCAAACAGGAUUAGAUACCCUGGUAGUCCACGCCCUAAACGAUGAUCACUCGCUGU